rnacentral:sRNA from 1 species
UCGCGGCAGGGAUGGAAGUGGAAAUCCUUUUUUUUUGCAAAGGGAAAAGCGUUGGCAAAAAAAAGAUUGCAGCGAACAGCCCGGUUCCGA